rnacentral:rRNA from 1 species
UACGUAGGUGACCAGCGUUGUCCGGAUUUACUGGGCGUAAAGAGCGCGCAGGCGGUCGUUCAAGUCGAGUGUGAAAGCCCCCGGCUCAACUGGGGAGGGUCAUUCGAUACUGAUCGACUCGAAGGCAGGAGAGGGAAGCGGAAUUCCCGGUGUAGUGGUGAAAUGCGUAGAUAUCGGGAGGAACAUCAGUGGCGAAGGCGGCUUCCUGGCCUGUUCUUGACGCUGAGGCGCGAAAGCUAGGGGAGCAAACGGG